CCCCCGGUCACGGGGUUUUGGCGCGACGGACUUCUAAUCCGUAGGUUGCACGUUCAAGUCGUGCCGGGGGUG
rnacentral:tRNA from 1 species